CAGGACAUACUUUAUUCAGCUGGGUGCUGAAAAAGAAUCUUGGAAAUUAGGAAACUGAAUGAGGCCUCAUUUCACACUCAGAAUGUGGGUUGCAAUAGUCACUUCCUCUGCUGCUGGGAAAGAAAGAAUUAUACUACCUUUUGAAUUUUGGAUUAAGGAGAGAGGUGUUGGCUUGUCAAACUACCAUGUAUUCCUCAAGACAUAUUUUUGUGGCUUUAUAAAAUUCAAUAUAUAUGUCUAAAUUCAAAAAUAUUUUGUUGCAAUCUGGCCCUUGGACAAACUGAGGCCCUAGCAACUGAUGUUUAUGGCUUUCCGUAGAACCUUUCAGAUAAAAUUUACACAGCAUUUUACUGCAGCUAUUUCACACAAAGCAGAGGAUUUUGCCACAAAACUGAAAGAAAAAAGAAACUGCAUUCUUAAAUUUUUCAUAAAUCAAAAGGUAUAAAAAUAUCUACCUAAACGAUAAAGGAGAUGAGAAACCCCACCCAUGAUGGGAAGAAAGCCUAUUUCAGUUUUGCCUUUACUUCAAGUUCUUUUUUCCAUAUCUGGAAUGCAAUCAGAAUUUUAAUCUUGCCUUGGGUUCCUCCUGGAUUUGGGGAGAAGACAAAACCUGAAAAUCUCUAAUCUGCAUGUGUUCAGCUGCGUAUCUUCUGGAUACGGAAGGAUCACACUGCACAGAGUGCUGGACUUGCAGGAGCCCCGCUUCUCAACCUCCAUCGCUUUAUGAAUGAAUUCACCAGAAAGAAAAGGAAGAAUCAACACUUUCAGAGAUGGAGCCUGUUGAGCCACAGUACCAACUAGUCAAUGCUGAAUCGACUUCUCCCUUUCUACAUUGCCUGAGAGAAGUCAUUGGGGAAUACUCUAGAGUCAAGGGAUUGGAUUGUGGAUUGCAUUGGUGGUUUUCCUCAGUUUCCUCAUCUUCUCCACAAGUUUCUACAUAUCGAAUGCAGAGCAGCCCUUCUUCAAAGGACCUCCUACGGAAGCUGCUAAGGAACUCAGUCUGUAGCUCUGCGUGGAGCCAUGUGUAAACACUGAACUGAGACCUGCCACCUCCUACUACCUAAGGGCCCAUUUUCAUCUGAUAUCAUCCCCCAGAAACAAACUCAUGAUGACUUCCAUGUUUUUUUUAGAUUAGAUACAUGGAGAAUUUUCCUUUCCCUUAGAAUUAAAAUCCUGCAUUCUAAUUUUCA
rnacentral:lncRNA from 1 species